GAUACUGGAGGAUGUUGUUGUCAUAAUGUGCGGGACUAGAACGAUUAUUCAUUACCAGCCCUAGUUUGGGGAAAAUGUGUCCUUGUAUCUUUGUUUUGCAUGACAGUAGUACAAACAUGAAUAACAUUGCUGCUUUUGGUGUUCAGGCAAGCACAUCUGUUCACGGUGCUAGGCUGCAUCACGUAGAUGCGCACACAUGGCACGCAGCUUUCUAUGAAAACACUGCGACCUCACUACAAAAAGUACAGGCACACAGAAAACUGUGCUGCACUGAUGUCGGUGUUGGGACCUUAGCUGUAAGAGACCUCGCUUGGAGGAGGGAGAGGACAACCCAAGUUGUUCAAGUAUGGACUUCGGAGAGUCACAGGAUGCUACCUAUGAUCCUGAUGACUUGAUCACAGUCUUGACUGAGUCAGCAGAUGUGACAUUACGUGGAUAACCUGUUGGACCUCAUCUUUCACGAGGUUUUUCAGGACCCGGCCCCAUAUGUGAAUGAGGUGCUGAAGAUCUCAAAACCUGAGAAUCUCUCUGCCAAGUAUGAGAAACCUGACAAGCAGGAAGUUAUAGCCAGCUAUGUGUCGAGUUUCAAUCAAGGGCAGGUCUGAACUCUGUAUAACUUCCCUGAGCAUCAGGGAACACUCUGCGUAUCUGGAGCACCGAGCAGGAGGGCAGGACCACCCUGAUUCUCCGGCCCAGAGGGCCUCAACACCAGCUCACAAAGCUUCUGUACGGCAAAUCCCUGUAACGGCUGAGCAAAGUUUACAUUGUAUUUAGAAAAUAAAAGGUGACACACAAAUAUAAAGUGUUCCUUUGUUUACAGUAUGGCUACUGAUGGCACAAAGUGUAUUUUCGUAAUCAAUGUUUUUAUUAUACUUGGUAUUUUUUGUAUCUAUUACCUCUGUCCCAGCCAGUACAUUUAAUAACUAUUUAAAAAAGC